CGGGAGACACACGGCGGGUGCUAACGUCCGUCGUGAAGAGGGAAACAACCCAGACCGCCAGCUAAGGUCCCAAAGUCAUGGUUAAGUGGGAAACGAUGUGGGAAGGCCCAGACAGCCAGGAUGUUGGCUUAGAAGCAGCCAUCAUUUAAAGAAAGCGUAAUAGCUCACUGGUCGAGUCGGCCUGCGCGGAAGAUGUAACGGGGCUAAACCAUGCACCGAAGCUGCGGCAGCGACGCUUAUGCGUUGUUGGGUAGGGGAGCGUUCUGUAAGCCUGCGAAGGUGUGCUGUGAGGCAUGCUGGAGGUAUCAGAAGUGCGAAUGCUGACAUAAGUAACGAUAAAGCGGGUGAAAAGCCCGCUCGCCGGAAGACCAAGGGUUCCUGUCCAACGUUAAUCGGGGCAGGGUGAGUCGACCCCUAAGGCGAGGCCGAAAGGCGUAGUCGAUGGGAAACAGGUUAAUAUUCCUGUACUUGGUGUUACUGCGAAGGGGGGACGGAGAAGGCUAUGUUGGCCGGGCGACGGUUGUCCCGGUUUAAGCGUGUAGGCUGGUUUUCCAGGCAAAUCCGGAAAAUCAAGGCUGAGGCGUGAUGACGAGGCACUACGGUGCUGAAGCAACAAAUGCCCUGCUUCCAGGAAAAGCCUCUAAGCAUCAGGUAACAUCAAAUCGUACCCCAAACCGACACAGGUGGUCAGGUAGAGAAUACCAAGGCGCUUGAGAGAACUCGGGUGAAGGAACUAGGCAAAAUGGUGCCGUAACUUCGGGAGAAGGCACGCUGAUAUGUAGGUGAAGUCCCUCGCGGAUGGAGCUGAAAUCAGUCGAAGAUACCAGCUGGCUGCAACUGUUUAUUAAAAACACAGCACUGUGCAAACACGAAAGUGGACGUAUACGGUGUGACGCCUGCCCGGUGCCGGAAGG
rnacentral:rRNA from 1 species